CGCCUAUGUGAUUCGUGCAUUUCUAUACUUUGUAUUUACUUUCUGUACUGUAAACACAGAUAUUGAUACAUGUUUAUGAAACAUGCACAUGCUUCUGUUAUAAGAUAUAAUAAGCAUUAUUUAUAAUUUUACUGAAGUUGUACGUUAUAUUACAAAAUCAGUUUAAAAUCCAGCACUAGCCAUGUGGUGCACGUGAUUUUAAUCCCAUUUUUAAAAUUUGAUUAUACAUUCGUAUACAUUUGAUAUAGAAAGUAUACCAAAUAAUUAAAAUUUUAUUUUGUUUAUAUAUCAGUCCGACGUGUACGUCUUACUUCCCGGCUUGUUUAACGCGUUUGUAUUUUAAUUUUAUAAGUAUUCUUAACGUACUGUUCAUCGCAUGACCAAUCAGUGCACAUGUGUAACUGUAAAAUAAUUGCCAUCAAUUCAUCGUAGUUGUAAAUUCACCGUACGGGUGAACGCUGUUAACUGGACCCCGUUAAUUGAUCGGCAUCUAAUUAUAUUUGUGAUUUCUGUGUGUUCAUGCAGAACCUGCUCUGUGAUGAACAUAAUAUUUUCACACCUCUUUAUUUUGAAUAAGAAUAUGACCGUGCUUAGAAUCGCGGUGAAAAUUGGACAAGUCAAGACUAACUUGUCAGUAAACUAUUUAUGGCUCUAUCAUAUUUAGUUUGGCAAAAUCAUCAGUACAUGUAAAUAAAAUAUAGUUAAGGACAAAAUCUGAUACAUAUGUCUCAUUAAAACUUGUUUAAUUUCAUUAGACAUUUGUAAACAAACGGUCGGCCAUUUUUUUGGUUAAAUACGUGUUACAAAUACGAUUGGAACAAACACACGCCAAUACUUUGUCGUAUUUAACCAGGAAAUACUGACUCCGACAGGUCUUAUUUAAAAUAAAUAUACAUGUAAAAAGUAUACUAUUCGGUAAAAAAUGAUAAUUUUGAUUAAACAUUAUUCAUUUUAAACGAUCCCAAGAUGCACUUUUCCAAGAUUUAGCGGGUUCUGAUUGGUCAGUAUUGGCGCACUGUAUGAUUCCGAGCGAAGGUUAAAAUGGACAAGAAGGUGCUGUUGUAAAAUGGAGAAUUGAGAAGCAUUAAUAGCCUCUACAACAAGGAGAUAAUGCAGGAACGAAGAACUCAUGUCAAGCAUUGACAGCAUACAAAGUCAAUGUUUCCGGUGAUUAGUUGCAUCCUCUGUUCGGUGAUUCGGGUAAUGUUUUGACCAGCUGGACGAUGUGAACGCAAGAUAAAUAGAACAGACAUAAAGUACAGCCCAGUGAAAGGAACAAGUUCAUCGCAAGAAGAAGAAUUUUAAUGCUACCACUGUCCAGAACUACUAAGUCUGCUGUAGCCAUGAUGUGAUCAUAUGAGUGCUUCACCGGUCUGGACAAUGCUCGAAAGUCCCCCAAAAAGGCCUAUUUCCAUAAACUACGACUCGGGUUACAUCAACAACAGCCAAGGACACUCCUUAUUGAUUCGAAUGGACACAUCUCUACGACCCGACUAAACCUCUGCAGAACAAGACUUUUUAACUGUAAAGUAUUCUCAUUUCAAAAAACCUAUAAACUAUAAAAGUACUUUUUUUAUAUGAUCAAAUACCAGUAUAUUACAAAGUCUGUCUGUAAGCUAGAAUCUUAGAAAAUCACAUGGUUUUGACUUACUAAAUGAUUGAUUAGACCUUGCAGAUAUUAACUUUCAUUUUCUUAAAUAAUUUAUUAUGUUUGCAAAUAUUGCAUAAAAUAUUAGACUCCAUGUAACAUAUAUCCUCACACCUCCAAGUUGAUAUGUGUUAACU